AUGGCCAUUAUCACAUUGAAACACGGGUUCCUAUACAAUCACCAAAGUUAAGCAACACUGACUCUGGUCAGUACCUAGAUGGGUGACUGCUUGGAAAUAACAAGUGCUGUAAG